UGGCUUGCAUUGCAUGCAGCUGCCGGAUGGAAGAAGAGAUGGUGGUGCCGGGCACGCAUGGUCGAGCCGAGCGAGCGCAGCGUCCCGAGGCUGACGCGAUGCUCGCUCUCGAUCCCUCUUUGACCACAUGCAUGCAUGCUGACUUGCUUCUCGGUCACUGGUCCAGUGACCUCGAACCAUCAGCCUCUUCUAGCUCUCCCAUGCCGUCCGGCUGCAUGAGGUCUUUACCUUAAUUUUCGGUCAAUGUUCCUGUUUCUCCAUCUCUUCUUUUCUUUUCCACAUCUCUGUAGGAACCUUGCCUCAAAGGUACGGGUGUUACCGCUUCCUGUCGUCCGUCUCUUGCCUUGUCCCUCGGAAGUUCAAGAGAAUGUCAUAUUUGCCACUAAAAUUCUGCCCAAAUGUUAUUUGGAGUUUUUUGUUUCUAAAUUUAUUAUUCAAAAUUUGCAUGGUACAAAUAUGUCACUACCGUUAGUUGACUGUUAAGCAAAAGAUGAACAAUUGUCAGUUUUUUCAUAUUGACCAAAAUACCCCUAGAUCCACAUGUUAGAAAAAAAGAGAGUAAAAUACCCUUGAGCCCCCCUCUCUCCGUCAGAAAAAAGACAAAAAAAAUGAUGAUCGAGUUUUGGUAUAUUAGUCUACUGAAAUCUAUUAUGAAUUUGUGAUGUUAAGUAAAAUCAAGGGGAAGCGUUAAAAAUUAAGGUAUAUUAGUCUACUGAAAUUUUCAUUACAAAAAAUGGAAGCGUUAAAAAUGCCACCUGUCCAAUUGCAUAGAAGAAAUAUUUAAAAAAAUAUAUAUAUUAAUUACAAAUGUAUACCUUAGAGAACGUUGUUGUUCUCGACAACAAUUAGCGUAAGGGGUGCCAAAACUCGAUGGCACAAGUGCGAGUAUAAAAGUAGGGCGUGUACGCCGACCUUAUAGCGA
rnacentral:lncRNA from 1 species